GAUCUUGUUCUUCAAUUGAACUAAUUUCUCUUUUUGUUAGUAGUUCUUUUUGGUUUUAUUUAGUGUUCUGAUGAUGCAUUUGCUGUUAAUUAUUGUGAUGGAUCGUGAACAGCAGCUCAACGAUCUUGAUGUGUUCCCAUGUUUCAGCUGUUGUACCUCAAAACUGAUUUUUCGUUAUGUUUGUGAACGCUCUUUUUGCUUUCUUUAGUGUUUUGGUGAUGAAUUCGAGAUUGAAUUUGCAAAAUUUACAGAAUUGUUUUGUCAUGUUUGAUAUUAUCAAGUGAAAAUAAAUGAUCUUAAUGCCUUUUUGGAUAUGUUUCUGUUUGGUUUAUUCCUGCUCUUAAUCAUUGUAAUGGACAGUGAACAACAGCUCAUUGAUCUUAAUUUAAGUCGAUGGUUUUUUUCUUCUUGUCUUUCAUCUUGUGGUUUGAUUAUGAAUAAGGUAGUUGUUAGUAUGAUUUCUCUUGGAGGUCGUGAAUUAGGAUAGAAGAUUAGUAGGUAGUUGAGCGUUGUCUCGGAUAGGCGUGGUGGUAGGUUGGUGCAUUGUACCUAUUUCCCUGUCUAUAUCAGUAGUCGCAGCACUUGUCCCGUAGUUGCCUGUCUUACGACUUUGGUUAUUCCAAAGGGGAGUUAAGUAUAAGGCUAUGGGGGUUGUGGAUUAGGAUAGAAGGUUUGUAGUUAGUUGAGCGUUGUCUCGGAUAGGCGUGGUGGUAGGUUGGUGUACCUAUUUCCCUGUCUAUACCAGUAGUCGCGACACUUCUCCCGUAAGGUUAUGGGGGUCGUGGAUUAGGGUAGAAGAUUAGUAGAUAGUUGAGUGGUGUCGCGGAUAGGCGUGGUGGUAGGUUGGUGUACCUAUUUCCCUGUCUAUACCAGUAGUCGUAGUACUUGUCCCGUAGUUGCCUGUCUUACAACUUUCGUUACUCCAAAAGGGAGUUAAGUAUAAGGUUAUGGGGGUCGUGGAUUUGGGUAGAAGGUUAGUAGGUAGUUGAGCGUUGUCUCGGAUAGGCGUGGUGGUAGGUUGGUGCAUUAUACCUAUCUAUUUCCCUGUCGAUACCAGUUGUCGCAGCACUUGUCCUGUGGUUGCCUAUCUUACAACUUUGGUUACUACAAAGGGGAGUUAAGUAUAAGGUUAUGGGGGUCGUGGAUUAGGGUAGAAGGUUUGUAGGUAGU
rnacentral:lncRNA from 1 species